ensembl:lncRNA
UGGCAAUUUGCAACAUUCUUUCUCAGAGCUUCUGUUACACCGGCAGGAGCAUCCGCAGCCACACCCGCAAUUUGCAUAGAAGCAUCCAUGAAAGCCAAAAGCAAACCGAUACCACAAGGAUGGACGGAGUCCACACCCUUCACAAACCCCCGCAGAGACAACACAGGCACCAGUCCCAUAGAUAAUAAUGCUUCUGAGGUUUGGAUAAGUAACGAAGAGGAAGGAGAUCUCCUUCUAGUCCAUCCUGCUGCCGACAAUUAAGAAACCUCAAAGUAAUUUUUGAAAAUGUCAG